UAUAGCAGUAUCAAUCUCUGUUAGGCUGUAAAAAUGCAAAGACUUCAAAAUGUGUACUGAAGAAAGGAAAAUACUCUAAGAAUUUAUGUAAGCUCUAAAAAGUUCUUACAUGAUUCAGCUCUUCUAUUAGUUGUUGAAGUGUGUUUUUUCUGAAAUUUGUGCAGGUGGUGCAGUCAGAAAUGCAUUCCAAAAACUAAAGAUGCACAGUAAUGCCAUACAGCCUGAAUUUGAAAAAAAAGUCUCUGUGACAGCAUCCGAAUUGCACUUUUACCUGUAAAAGGUUGUACCAUCACAACAAGAGCACAACCUCCAAAGGACAGACCAGACAGCUGUUUUCCUGCGAGGUGCAUGAGGUGUCCAUAGGACCACUUGGUUCUAGCUCUAAGGCUUCCAAAGGGAAAUAAUACCAAGUGUUGCGGAAAA
rnacentral:lncRNA from 1 species